AAUGAACGCUGGCGGCGCGCCUAAUACAUGCAAGUCGAGCGAGAAGACGUAGCAAUACGUUUGUAAAGCGGCGAACGGGUGAGGAAUACAUGGGUAACCUACCCUCGAGUGGGGAAUAACUAGCCGAAAGGUUAGCUAAUACCGCGUACGCUUCUUGGACUUCGGUUCAGGGAGGAAAGCGAUACCGUGGGUAUCGCGCUCUUGGAUGGGCUCAUGUCCUAUCAGCUUGUUGGUGAGGUAGCGGCUCACCAAGGCUUCGACGGGUAGCUGGUCUGAGAGGACGAUCAGCCACACUGGCACUGCGACACGGGCCAGACUCCUACGGGAGGCAGCAGUAAGGAAUAUUGCGCAAUGGGCGAAAGCCUGACGCAGCGACGCCGCGUGAGGGAUGACGGCCU
rnacentral:rRNA from 1 species